rnacentral:rRNA from 2 species
UUUAUUGGAGAGUUUGAUCCUGGCUCAGGAUGAACGCUGGCGGCGUGCCUAAUACAUGCAAGUCGAGCGAAUGGAUUGAGAGCUUGCUCUCAAGAAGUUAGCGGCGGACGGGUGAGUAACACGUGGGUAACCUGCCCAUAAGACUGGGAUAACUCCGGGAAACCGGGGCUAAUACCGGAUAAUAUUUUGAACUGCAUGGUUCGAAAUUGAAAGGCGGCUUCGGCUGUCACUUAUGGAUGGACCCGCGUCGCAUUAGCUAGUUGGUGAGGUAACGGCU